rnacentral:lncRNA from 1 species
GUCCAUCAAAUUCCACCAUCCUUGCUAACCUCCAGCACCUUCUCUUUUCCUCCCACCCCUCUGCCCUAUCUAGAGUUCAUCUAUUCCUCCCAUUCUCCCUCUCCCUAUCCCACUAUGAAUCAGCCUCCUUAUAUCAAAGAAAAUAUCAGGCAUUUUGUCUUUUUGGGAUUGGCUAACUUCACUUAGCAUUAUCUUCUCCAGAGCCAUCCAUUUACCUGCAAAUGCCAUGAUUUUAUUCUCUUUUAUUGCUGAGUAAAAUUCCAUUGUGUAUAUAUGCCACAUUUUUUAAUCCUUUCAUCUACUGAAGGACAUCUAGGUUGGUUCCAUAAUUUAGCUAUUAUGAAUUGUGCUGCUAUGAACAUUGAUGUGGCUGUGUCCCUGCAGUAUGCUGUUUUUAAGUCUUUUGGGUAUAAACCGAAGAGUGGGAUAGCUUGGUCAAAUGGUGGUUUCAUUCCCAGUUUUCCAAGGGAUCUCCAUACUACUUUCCAUAUUGGCUGCACCAAUUUGCAGUCCCACCAGCAAUGUAUGAGUGCACCUUUUUCCCCACAGAUUGUUCACCAUGUAGUCAAUCAGAGGAUGUUGAAUGUUAGCAGCAACAGGAAGAUCAUGACUGUCAGACUGAGACCCUGAAUAAACAUGUGAAGCUGAGUCCCUGCCUAUUCAACUUUGGACAUGUAGUUUUUAUUUCUAAGUCAUUUUUCCAGAAAAUGUGUAAGCAUUUUAUAUCACAUUCAUCCAGAUGAUGAAGACUUCGAUUCUCUUUAACAAGUCAC